AUAGUUCGCAUAGUGGCCUAUUGCGCCCGGUUGAUACCCGGGUUGGGUUAAUCGCCCUCAGGGGUUCGAAUCCCCUACUAUCCG
rnacentral:tRNA from 1 species